GCCUGGGUGGCUCAGUCGGUUGAGCGACUGACUUCAGCUCAGGUCAUGAUCUCACAGUUUGUGAGUUCGAGCCCCACGUCGGGCU
rnacentral:tRNA from 1 species